GCUCCGCCCACAACGACAUCCUAUAUCCAUAGAUCUGCAGGGCAAGACAUCCAAAUCCCACAAACGAUUCAGGAAUGCAGUUCUAUGUAUUUGGCAGGGCUUAACAUAAAACCCAAAUCAAAGUAAGAGAAUACAUAUAACGACUGAAAUCAACAACUGACUAAGGAUAUAAGUUACCUGUGGAGAGUUUUCUGCACUAGGGCUUCCAGAAGAUAAAGGAUCAUUUCCAUCCACAUCCUCACGAUUUCCCAGGCAGAAGAAGUUCAAAUAGUCUUGAGGAGAGAAUGCCUCCUCAAGACCAACCUCCAUCAAGGCCUUGUAAAUGACCUCAUACAUCAUUUGCAUGGUUUUUUGCUGAGCAGUGCGAGAAAAGUUCAGUUAAAUCAGAAGUAUACUUGUCAUAGAUCAGAAUGUGUGUUGGUGUUUCAAUGUUCAUCUUAUCAUGUUCCCUCAUGAUCUCACUUUAUUUUAUCAUUUAACCCAAUAAUAUCUCCAAUUCCCACCAAAGAAGAAUUUAAGAACUGCAAAGUUCUAAAUAUUUAGGACUGUUCUGAUAUUUUAAUUGCCAUGAAUUACUACUGGG